GACGAACGCUGGCGGCGUGCUUAACACAUGCAAGUCGAACGCUGAAGCUUGGUGCUUGCACUGGGUGGAUGAGUGGCGAACGGGUGAGUAAUACGUGAGUAACCUGCCCUUGACUCUGGGAUAAGCCUGGGAAACUGGGUCUAAUACUGGAUACGACAUGUCACCGCAUGGUGGUGUGUGGAAAGGGUUUUACUGGUUUUGGAUGGGCUCACGGCCUAUCAGCUUGUUGGUGGGGUAAUGGCUCACCAAGGCGACGACGGGUAGCCGGCCUGAGAGGGUGACCGGCCACACUGGGACUGAGACACGGCCCAGACUCCUACGGGAGGCAGCAGUGGGGAAUAUUGCACAAUGGGCCGAAGCCUGAUGCAGCGACGCCGCGUGAGGGAUGACGGCCUUCGGGUUGUAAACCUCUUUCAGCACGGAAGAAGCGAAAGUGACGGUACGUGCAGAAGAAGCGCCGGCUAACUACGUG
rnacentral:rRNA from 1 species